CCUACCCUUCCUAGGAACUCUGACCAUAUUACUCGCCACAGGAAUAAAAUACUUCUUGAGGACAGCUAUAUUAGACUGUGAUUUUGAUUUGAUUCUAGACAAUAAACUAAAUCUGACCCUGUACACCGGAGAAGUUGCAUAUUUCCAACUCGAAUUUCAUGAAAAACACUUGCUACCCUUUCAAGAAAGCCAUUUUACACACGUUGUAAACAAUUUCAUUAUGCAACUUGAGCCACCUUUUACUUACACUCAGUGUCGCUUUUUACCUACAUUCAAAAAAUAUUAUUAUAAAGUAGUUAAUAAUAUAGACAUAUUAUACGUUAUUUUCAAGAUUUCUUCUGUUGCAACUAUCCAAAAUUUCUUUUUACUGAAAUAAUAUGUAUCCACUUUCUUAAAAAAUAAAGAUUAAAUUUCGUUUA